CGGUUCUGUUUGACUUUUCAAGAUAUAAGGUGUCAAAAAUCGUAAGAAAUAACAUUUGCAAAGCUUAAGCAAUUUUCUGUUCAAUUAACUACUCGCUUUUCAGUACUAUCUGUUGGCGAGGACAGUCCCAUCUGCUUUUUUAAAACUAAGGUUGCCCCAUCACAGAGAGCCAACGAUAAGCCCCAUGAACCCUGUGUCAGUAUUGACGAGGUCAAAGGAGGAGUGAUAUCUGCACACUGCACAUGCAAAGCUGGAUUGGGUGAAGCCUGCAGCCACAUUGCAGCCCUGCUCUUCAAGUUUGAAGCUAUUGGAAGACUGCGAGUCAACAGCAAUUCCAAGACCAGUGAGGCCUGUACAUGGAACCGGUCAUUUAGGAAGAAGGUAACACCAAAGCGAAUUGUGUAUAUGGACUUCACGAAGCCCAAGCAUGCCAAAUCUGCAAGGCUGAAAGUAAACAAGCCAAGGCCUCAUCAGGAGUGUAAACUCGA